CUACGGGUGGCUGCAGUGAGGAAUAUUGCACAAUGGAGGAAACUCUGAUGCAGCAACGCCGCGUGGAGGAUGACGCAUUUCGGUGUGUAAACUCCUUUUAUAUGUCAAGAAAAUGACGGUAGCAUAUGAAUAAGCACCGGCUAACUCCGUGCCAGCAGCCGCGGCAAUACGGAGGGUGCAAGCGUUACUCGGAAUCACUGGGCGUAAAGGACGCGUAGGCGGGUUGGAAAGUCAGGUGUGAAAUCCUACAGCUUAACUGUAGAACUGCACUUGAAACUUCUAAUCUAGAGUAUGGGAGGGGGAGAUGGAAUUAGUGGUGUAGGGGUAAAAUCCGUAGAUAUCACUAGGAAUACCUAAAGCGAAGGCGAUCUCCUGGAACAUUACUGACGCUAAGGCGUGAAAGCGUGGGGAGCAAACAGGAUUAGAUACCCGCGUAGUC
rnacentral:rRNA from 1 species